rnacentral:rRNA from 1 species
GUGGGGAAUAUUGGACAAUGGGCGAAAGCCUGAUCCAGCAAUGCCGCGUGUGUGAAGAAGGCCUGAGGGUUGUAAAGCACUUUCAGAAAUGAGAAAGUUAUUACGGUUAAUACCCGUAAUGAUUGAUGUUAGUUUAAGAAGAAGCACCGGCUAACUCUGUGCCAGCAGCCGCGGUAAUACAGAGGGUGCAAGCGUUAAUCGGAAUUAUUGGGCGUAAAGGGUGCGUAGGUGGUUCAAGUAAGUCAAGUGUGAAAUCCCCGAGCUUAACUUGGGAAAGUCGCUUGAUACUACUUAGCUAGAGUACUAUAGAGGGUAGUGGAAUUUCCAGUGUAGCGGUGAAAUGCGUAGAUAUUGGAAGGAACAUCAGUGGCGAAGGCGACUACCUGGAUAGAUACUGACACUGAGGCACGAAAGCGUGGGGAGCAAACAGG